AUUGAACGCUGGCGGCAUGCUUUACACAUGCAAGUCGAACGGUAACAGGCCUUCGGGUUCUGACGAGUGGCGAACGGGUGAGUAUGCAUCGGAACGUGCCCAGAGGUUGGGGAUAACGCAGCGAAAGCUGUGCUAAUACCGCAUGUGAUCUGAGGAUGAAAGCGGGGGACCAGGCAGCAAUGUUUGGCCUCGCGCCUUUUGAGCGGCCGAUGUCAGAUUAGGUAGUUGGUGGGGUAAAGGCCUACCAAGACGACGAUCUGUAGCUGGUCUGAGAGGACGACCAGCCACACUGGGACUGAGACACGGCCCAGACUCCUACGGGAGGCAGCAGUGGGGAAUUUUGGACAAUGGGCGCAAGCCUGAUCCAGCAAUGCCGCGUGCGGGAAGAAGGCCUUCGGGUUGUAAACCGCUUUUGUACGGAACGAAAAGGCUCUGGCUAAUACCUGGGGCUGAUGACGGUACCGUAAGAAUAAGCACCGGCUAACUACGUG
rnacentral:rRNA from 1 species